CCUACGGGUGGCAGCAGUGAGGAAUAUUGGUCAAUGGACGAGAGUCUGAACCAGCCAAGUAGCGUGAAGGAUGACUGCCCUAUGGGUUGUAAACUUCUUUUAUAAAGGGAUAAAACGAGCCACGUGUGCAUUUUUGCAUGUACCUUAUGAAUAAGGAUCGGCUAAUUCCGUGCCAGCAGCCGCGGUAAUACGGAGGAUCCGAGCGUUAUCCGGAUUUAUUGGGUUUAAAGGGAGCGUAGAUGGGUUGUUAAGUCAGUUGUGAAAGUUUGCGGCUCAACCGUAAAAGUGCAAUUGAUACUGGCAGUCUUGAGUACAGUGGAGGUAGGCGGAAUUCGUGGUGUAGCGGUGAAAUGCUUAGAUAUCACGAAGAACCCCGAUUGCGAAGGCAGCUUACUAAAGUGUGACUGACACUGAUGCUCGAAAGUGUGGGUAUCGAACAGGAUUAGAUACCCGUGUAGUC
rnacentral:rRNA from 1 species